GAACUUAUUAGAUACCGGAGU
rnacentral:miRNA from 1 species